rnacentral:rRNA from 1 species
UACGGAGGGUGCAAGCGUUGCUCGGAAUUAUUGGGCGUAAAGCGCGUGUAGGCGGUUUUCUAAGUCUGAUGUGAAAUCCCGGAGGUUAACUCCGGAACUGCAUCGGGGACUGGAAGUCUAGAGGGUGGAAGAGGCUGGUGGAAUUCCGAGUGUAGGGGUGAAAUCCGUAGAUAUUAGGAGGAACACCAGUGGCGAAGGCGGCUUGCUGGGCUCUUUCUGACGCUGCGACGCGAAAGCGUGGGGAGCAAACAUG